rnacentral:lncRNA from 1 species
GUCUAUCUAUCUUGUUCAUGGAUUACAACGUAUAUUGUAAUGACUUGCAAUGAGUUGUAAAACUACAAUGAUUAUAGCAUAUAGCCGGCAUGCCACUAAUAUCUUUAUGGUUCUUCAAUGUCUCUUCAUGAGUAGUGGGCUGUCUCCUAAACUGAUACAGGAGGAUCUUUUUUAAUACGCUUUUGUUCACAACUUGCUCCAUGCAUUUCUCGGACAAAGUCUUGUUGAAAUGGCCUUUUUUCGAAAGACCGGGGAGG